GCACCCUUAGCUCAAUUGGAUAGAGCGUCGGUCUACGGAACCGAAGGUUGGGGAUUCGAACUCCUCAGGGUGUGCCA
rnacentral:tRNA from 1 species